rnacentral:lncRNA from 1 species
CGGUUGCCUGCUGGAAGUUUGUUUUUGCUCUGCAGGAUUGAAGGGUUCUCCCUAUGCUGCUUUGAGCGCUGCUAUUGGGUGCCUUGAGGGGACCUCAAGUAAGCUCCAUUUUUGAAACAUGAGUCAAAGCCCCGGUGAAGAUUCUGUGACGGUUCAUUGUAUAAUUUAUGAUGAUGAAGAUUGAGUUGCAUUUUGCGGAAAAGAGAUGUUGAGAUAUCUAAGGCAUUGAGAAAUCUGUCAUGCAGACAUGCACACAGGGAGAGGGAGUACCCAAACUGAUGAGAACUUACAGGAAUUGGACCAUCUAAGCCCUUAGAAAGUGAAGUCCACUGUGUCUCAAACAAAGGAUGGCAAGUGUUCAUGACAUCAAUACUACCCAAGGCUUCAGAGUCAUUGGAUUGCAGGAUGCAGUGACUUAUGAUGAUGUGCGUGUGAACUUCACUGAGGAAGAGUGGGAUUUGCUGGAUCCUUCCCAGAAAAGUCUCUAUGAAGAGGUGAUGCUAGAGACAUACCAGAACAUCACUGCUAUAGGCUACAAUUGGGAAGACCAUCAUAUUGAAGAACAUUGUCAAAGUUCUAGAAGACAUGAAAGGCAUGAAAGAAUUCAUAUUGGAGAGAAACCGUAUGAACGUAACCAAUGGGGUAAAGCCUUUGCAAGUGACAAUCAUCUCCAAAUACGUAAAAGAACAAAUACUGGAGAGAAACCUUAUGAAUGUAAUCAAUGUGGUAAAGCCUUUUCACAACAGAGUAGUCUCCAGUAUCAUAAAAGAACAUAUGCUGGACAGAAACCUUAUGAAUGUAAUCAGUGUGGUAAAGCCUUGUCAUGUCAAAGAAAUCUCCAAUAUCAUAAAAGAACACAUACUGGAGAGAAACCCUAUGAAUGUAAUCAGUGUGGUAAAGCCUUCACACAUUACAAUAAUCUCCGAUAUCAUAAAAGAACACAUACUGGAGAAAAACCUUAUGAAUGUAAUCAGUGUGGUAAAGCCUUUGCACGUUACAAUAAUCUCCAGUGUCAUAAAAGAACACAUACUGGAGAGAAACCUCAUGUGUGUGAUCAAUGUGGUAAAACCUUUGCAUGGCAGUAUACUCUCCAAAAACAUAAAAGAAUACAUACUGGAGAGAAACCUUAUCAAUGUAGUCAAUGUGAUAAAGCAUUUUCAGAACACAGUAGUCUUCAAUAUCAUAAAAGAACACAUACUGGAGAGAAACCUUAUGAGUGUGAUCAAUGUGGUAAAGCCUUUGCUUGGCAGUGUAGUCUCCAUAUCCAUAAAAGAACACAUUCUGGAGAGAAACCUUAUGAGUGUAAUGAAUGUGGUAAAGCCUUUGCACAUCACACUAGUCUCCAAAGUCAUAAAAGAAUACAUACUGGAGAGAAACCUUAUCAGUGUGAUCAGUGUGGUAAAGCAUUUGCACAUCAAAAUAAUCUCCAAUAUCAUAAAAGAACACAUACUGGAGAGAAACCAUAUGAAUGCAAUCAAUGUGGUAAAGCCUUUGCAAGUCACAGUCAUCUCCAAAUACAUGAAAGAACACAUUUUAGAAAAAACCCUUAGAAUGCAAUCAAUGUUGUAAAGACUUUGGAUGUAAGACUAAUCUCCAAAGACAUAAAGGAAUAUAUAUGGGACAGAAACCUUAUGAAUGUAAUCAAUGUGGUAAAGCAUUUGCAACUCACAGUCAUCUACAAUGACAUAAAAGAACACAGAGGAGAGAAACCUGGUUAUUGUUUACAUAUUGACAUAAGGAGAUGCAAGUAUGUAUCAACUUGACAAGGGAUGGAUUGUGAUUGCUACUCUUGGUUUUCAAUAUAAGAUCUAAAGUGGAAAGCAUAGGUCCAGGCAUGGUGGUACAUGCCCUUGAACCCUAGGAGAUGAGCAUCAAGCAGAUCUCUGAGUUCAAGUCCAUCCUGAUACAGAACAAGUUUCAGGUGAAGAAAAGCUAAGGUCUAGGCCGGUGGAUACAGAGCCUUGCAGAUCUCUGAGUUCAAGGUCAGUAUAUAGAGCAAGUUCCAGGACAGCCAAGCUGAGGCAGUAAAGGAGUUGGAGAACAGAAAACUGGUGAUAAUGUAAUAGAAGAGGCCAUGUCCCAGGCCCAGAAAGCAGCAGAGCUCAGCAACUUUGUCCAUGUGGCUCUGACUUUAGAGGUAAGAAUAGAAGGGACUACUGGGAAAAUUGAAGCUUGUUAGCUGUGGAUGAGAAAUUAGAAGUGAUGAAGAAGAGACCAGCAUCAUUGAGGUGAAAUUUUCUAGGAAGUGUUUUCUGAGAGGACAAAGAAACUGUGUUCCAGAGAUAGCCAGGAUUGUACCUUGUGUUGCAGCUGAACUUGGUCACAUGUAAGAAUCAUCCAGGUGGUACUGGUUUUGAAGGCAUGACGGUGUCAUGAGGAGCAGCUGAGGCUUGGACCAAUGAAGGGAGCAUAAGUGAGACUAUCAGUGAAGCCUAGUUGCAGGAGAAGAACCCAACAUAUUGAAGAUGCCAGUCCAAUGGGAUGAGCAGAAAGAACAGCCCAGUAGAGUGGAGUCAACCAGAGCUUAGAGUGAUACAGAGGUCAGAGCUAGAGAAGUGACCUUAUCUCUUUGGAGGACUGCAGAAGAUCAUGUGUGGAUCCAAGACAUUGGAGCAAGAAGCUGUAACACUGAGGUUACCUUCCAGACCCCAAGAUCUUUGAGAUGUCAGAGCUGUGGGGUACCUGCUCAGGAAAACCAGCCAAAGAGAAAGAAUUGUGCUGCAGUUAACAAAGCAUAAAAGGAGUUGGAGAUCUAAAGAAUGCUUUAACAUGACACAUGGAGAUGCAGUUUCAAGAUUUCCAAGUUGACUUUUGGUUUUGUUUUCGUCCAGUAAUUCCUCAUGAUGACAUUUUGGAAUGGUGAAGUCUAUGUUGUGAAGUUGGAAUUAUAUGAUCUGCAUUUAGAUUUUUCUUUUUUAGGGGAUUACAGUUACAUUGAAUGAAUCUCAGAAGAGACUUUGACCUUUGGACUUUUAACGUAUUUGAGACUGGUAUAGAUGAUGGGGACUUUUGAGGUUGGACCUCGUGUAUUUUUCAUUAUGCAUGUUUAAAUAUGUUCCUUAUACAUUCCUGUACUCCAACAUGCUUAAGGGGGCCAGUGAGUGGAAUGUGGGAGUUUGAAUAUGCUUGUGACAGGGAGUGACUCUAUUCAGAGGUGUGACCUUGUAGGAGAAAGUGGAUAUCUCUGGGGGUGGACUUUGAAGCUCCACCAAGUGCAAAACAGACCCUCCUAUUCCCUCUCUGGAAGACAGUUUCUUCCUGGCUGCCUUUGGAUCAAAAUGCAGAACUCUCAGCUCCUUCUCCAGCAUCAUGUCUGCCUGCAUGCUGCUGUGCUUCCUCUGAAACUGUAAGCCAGCCCCAAUUAAAGGUUUGCUUUUAUGAGA